rnacentral:rRNA from 1 species
GACGAACGCUGGCGGCGUGCUUAACACAUGCCAGUCGAACGGAAAGGCCCUGCUUUUGUGGGGUGCUCGAGUGGCGAAAGGGUGAGUAACACGUGAGUAACCUGCCCUUGACUUUGGGAUAACUUCAGGAAACUGGGGCUAAUACCGGAUAGGAGCUCCUGCUGCAUGGUGGGGGUUGGAAAGUUUCGGCGGUUGGGGAUGGACUCGCGGCUUAUCAGCUUGUUGGUGGGGUAGUGGCUUACCAAGGCUUUGACGGGUAGCCGGCCUGAGAGGGUGACCGGCCACAUUGGGACUGAGAUACGGCCCAGACUCCUACGGGAGGCAGCAGUGGGGAAUAUUGCACAAUGGGCGGAAGCCUGAUGCAGCAACGCCGCGUGCGGGAUGACGGCCUUCGGGUUGUAAACCGCUUUCGCCUGUGACGAAGCGUGAGUGAUGGUAAUGGGUAAAGAAGCACCGGCUAACUACGUG